AAUUUCAAAAAACUCUACACCAAGGAGCUUUUCAGGCGAUGCUUCGAGGUGACUGAUUGCACCACCAUCACCCUGCGGGAAUUCUGGAAGGACCACUUCAACAUCGUCACCUGCUUGAAGAUGAUCAACACGGCCUGGAACGGGAUCAGCCAGAGAAAUUUGAAUUGCGCUUGGCGCAGCCUGUGGCUGGACUGUGUGGCACCAAGUGACUCUGAUGCACCAGAGUCAACAGUGGUGCAGGACAUUGUUGCCUUGGGGAGGACCAUGGGCCUGGAGGUCACAGAGGAGGACAUCAGCGAGCUGGUGGAGGAGCACGACCACGAGCUGACCACCCAGGAGCUGGUCGAACUGCAGGCAGAGGCUGCGCAGGAGCAGGCCUCGCUGGAAGAGGAGGAAGCAACUGAGGAACGGCUGUCCUCCAAAGAACUGAGGGACAUUUGCCUGAAGUGGAAGGAUGUGCAGGCUUUUGCACAGUGGCACCACCCUGACAAGCACGUGGCACAUGACCUUGCGAACACUUUUGAUACGAGGGUCAUGUCGCCUUUCAGGGAGGUGUUGAAAAGGCGGAUGAAGCAGCAGACCAUGGACAGGUUCUUCAGCAAGAAGCAAAGGGUGGAAGAGGAACCUUCUUCGAGUUGUCCCCCAGAGUCUUAGAAAAUGUACUGUACACUUUGUUGAUUUUUAAAUGUUUUUCUGUCAUGUUUAGAAACUUAAUUUAUUGUUCCUUCAAUUUUUGAAAUGCUCUUUACAGUAUGCGUGACUUUAAAGAGCACUUAAACUCUUGUUGUACCAAAUUUGGCUUUGUUUGGACUUUUUUUGACCAUAGGAACGCAUUAAUUGAAUUUCAAUGCAUUCCUAUGGGAUUUCGUGCUUCGCAAGACGAAAAAUUUGCUAGACGAAAAAACUCGCGGAACGAAUUAAUUUCAUCUUGCGAGGCACCACUGUAUCUGGGCAGAAAUUGGGAAAAUGUCUGGGAAAAUCCGGACAUGGCGGCAGUGCCGUUUUUGCAGUUUUUCCAUAAAAGUAGCUCAAAAGUGGCAAAGAGCUCAACAAGGUAAAGGUAAAGGGACCCCUGACGAUUAAGUCCAGUCGUGACCGACUCUGGGGUUGCGGCGCUCAUCUCGCUUUACUGGCCGAGGGAGCCAGCGAACAGCUUCCGGGUCAUGUGGCCAGCAUGACUAAGCCGCUUCUGGCAAACCAGAGCAGUGCACGGAAACGCCGUUUACCUUCCUGCUGGAGUGGUACCUAUUUAUCUACUUGCACUUUGAUGUGCUUUCGAACUGCUAGGUUGGCAGGAGCAGGGACCGAGCAACAGGAGCUCACCCCAUUGCGGGGAUUCGAACCGCCGACCUUUGAUCGGCAAGUCCUAGGCUCUGUCGUUUAACCCACAGCGCCACCCGUGUCCCUAAAGAGCUCAACAACUUUGGGCAAAACUAAAAGAAGCUCAACAACUGCCUAGAUUUUCACAGUUUGAAAUAUGGCAACCCUACCUAUAUGAAGGCAUCUGCUUACACUGAUGCUGAUGCUUUCAUAUUCGGAAGUGUUAGAAAAGUGAGAGUGAGAGGAAGUCAGGGCAAGGAAAAGGUGUACAGAAACAUAUCAAAGGAUUGAUUUCACAUAUAUCCCAGAGCAGAUGACAAAUCUUGGAGAUGUGGGACAACAGGAGUGGAAAUAUCACGUUUGGUGUAUGCGUACUAAGUUGUUCUGGGAGUUAGUGUUGGUGAACACCAAGGAAAUGACAGGUUGUAACAAAGCAGGCCCCAUUAAUCAUUUUGUUUGGUAACACAGAAAAUGAAGUAAACAGGGUGAAUAGAGAAAUGCUUACUUAUGUAUUUACGGCUGUCAGGAUGGCAGUCUGCCAAAAGUGGGAACAGAAAGAAUCUCUGACACAAGAAGAUGGUUGAAUGGGAUAUGGGAUACAUGCUGAAGCUGACGGACAGGAUCAAAAACAGAGAAGGUUGGCAAGGGAGUAAAAGCUUUAUUGAUAGAUUGUCAUUGUUUAUUAUGGAUUGGAAUAACAAAGUGCAACCAUACAACUUGCUGGGAGAUGGGUAAUAGAUGACGGCAAAUGUUCACUACUUCUCUUCAGUUUCCCUCCUCCCUUGUAUAAAGCAUAUGGCAUUUACUCUGUACAGUAUGUUUUUUAACCUCUGUAUCUCACUUAUGUUAUGGAUUAACACAAACAAUUAUAAGCUUGUAUUACAAUUUACUGCCAUUUAUUUUUAGUUUUAAAAAUGAGGGGAUUUAUUUAUUUUUUAAGAGCAUUUUAGAAGGGAGGCAUUUUUCAGGACUGCCAAAAAUGUUCACAGGAAACUGAAGCUCUAGUUUCCAUGACUUGCUAGAAGACUUUAAAAACCCUUAUGUUUUAGUGACCUUUAAAAGUCCCAUCUGAAAACGUUCUUGCUGACUCUUCUGCAAUUCUUUUUAUUCACUGUAUGCUACCUUUUACAGCCUCUGUGAUGAACAAAAGCUAAAGGGAUUAAAAUCGAGUUGAUGGGUUGCCAAACCACUGGAUGUUCUUUUUCUAAACUACGUUUAUUUUUGUUUCCCUAGUUGUCCUUUGUCGCCCAUCUGCUGGAAUCCUCUUCUAGAUAAGACCCAUUACAACCGAGUAUUAGGCCAUGGACUGUGCCUAGUCACUGACUAUCAUCUUUGUGCAGAACAAUGGGCAGAAAGGUUACUCUCUACCUACACAUCGAGACCUUGAGGAGUAACAGGAAGCACUGUGGAAAAAGGCAUGCUGGAGCCUGGUAUUUUUUGUGGUAUUUUUUACAUAAACUGUGCUAUUCAUGUAGAAAUGUUAAGCCAAGUAAAUAAAGCAAAUCCAACUGUAAUAUUAUUACCAAUGUUGUAAACCUUGGUUUACAAACUUAAUCCGUUCCGGAAGUCCGUUCUUAAACCAAAGCAUUCUUAAACCAAGGCAUGCUUUCCCAUAGCAGUGGGGGACUCAAUUUACAAAUCGAACACACUCGACAGGAAGCAGAACAUGUUCUGCUUCCAAGGCAAAGUUCACAAACCAAAACACCUACUUCUGGGUUUGCAGCAUUCUUAAUCCAAGUUGUUCAUAAACUAAGCUGUUCUGAAAACAAGGUACCACUGUAGCUUGCAAGUAUGGGUGAGUUGUGGAAACUGGAAGAAAUAUAUUUGGGUAUCCUUUUGUCAUUAAGUAUAAACCACACUCAUAAAAUGUGUUCAAUGAAUUCCAGUCAUUCUCUUUAUAACUGGGACCUCCACAACUUUAUUAGUCAGAUCCUCCAUCAUGGAGGGCACGUGUUGCGGUGAGAUCACCAGAAACUGCCUCCCUGUUGUGGGGCAGAACCGUUUGGAUGGCCAAAACACCCCAUUGGUUGCCCCUCUGUUGCUGAGGCAGAAAUUUGGUCAGUUGGGUUGGCUAUUGGCUGCUGAGGGGCUACUUAAGCUGCUGCAUGUCGCUGGAGAGUUUCACUUUCUUGCAACGUGCAGCGGAUCACCCGCCCUCCUCUUUCUAUAUUUAGGGUUGUUCUUAUGGCCUUGCUAUGCCUGUCUAGGAGUCGUCUGUUUUGGAGCAGGGGCCCAGUAGGAAUUUUGCCAUUUGGCUGAUUGGCUGGUGCCACUUGGUUUUUGCCCACCAUGUAGCAAAUUGUCACAACUUUAUAAGGCUGGCGGUUAGGCAUUUGGUUCAAUGUUUUGGGGAGAGGAUGUUGUUGGCUGUGCCUGCCCCUCUAUUGCUGCUGCUAGGGAAUUCCAUUAAAGGAAUCCAGGGGCUCGCCAUGCUUUUGUCCAAACCCUGUCAAGGGGCUAGGGCCAUGCCAGAGCCCCUGGGAGCAUCUGGGGUGAGCUGUGAGAUCAAAGCCAUUUCUUGCUCCCCCAGGUUGCUUUCCCUUACUGACAUAUGGUGGUGCCCAGUGUCAGUCCUGUUCCUGUCACUGUGCAGGCUCAGGUAGUCUGGAACCAAUGCCUAAGCAACCACUCACAUGCUGUAAUCAAUAAAGGACUUCCGGGGUGGCGCCAUCGGCAAUGGCGGACUCCCUCUGAAUUGGUCUUUUCCGCUACGGCGAAGUGGGGACCCUUUUAAAAAUCACAGGCAGAUGAAGCCUGUGACCAUGGGACUCGGCGGGCACCCUUAGCGCCCCCCCAAUCCGCAAAGGAACCCACUAAUGGGCUCCGAAGCGAAGAGGGGGAAGCGGCGCGGUGCUGUGAGUCAACUGCUAUUUCCGUGGAGCGAAGCUGCACAGCCGUUGCCGGAGAGCGCUGCCUUUUUCUUGGGACAAUUUGGCUUUUAAAAUAAGCAUCCGUGAGUAUUUAAACUUUGAACAAUUGGACUUUAAAUAAGGACUUGCGAGCAGAAAGGAAUUGGACUUAGAAAUUUUACUUCAAUUUGGUACUGAAACGGGAAGGUCUAAACAGGAACUCAGCCUUCCGUUUCUUUGUAGACAGAAUAAAGCAAAGACAAUGUAAACUAGAGCUCAGAAAAUCGCCUCUAAAGGAUUGGCUUUCAUCAUUUAAAAUUGUUUAACCCCCCUUCGGCAGCAGGAGAAGGGGGAUCUUUUUUGGACUGUUUAAACCUGCAGAAGUGAGUUUAAAGUAAAGUAACUUUCCACCGUCCUGAUCCUGGAGCGGGAUGUCAGGACUGACGUAUGAAGCUCAUUGACCAGAGAUAAACGCUUUUGACAGAUAGCUAAAAGAAGAGGAACAUAGUGAUUCCAUUGUUUCCUUUCGCACCUUAAAGGAACAAAUAUUGACAAAAUAUCUGAAAAAAGGAAACUCUGUUGCUAGACUUGUCUUUAAAAGAAAGAUCAAAUAGAAGUUUUCCCCCUAGAGGGAGACUGUGAAACUGUAACCAACUCCUGGGAGCUGGCAGCUGUUACAGAUUACAAUCGUGGGAAUAGACAUCUGACCUUGCAGGACAAUGUAUUCAGAAGCUCUGUUGUGUGCUUUCUAUAAAACAAAUGCCCUACUGGAACAGCUACAUGAGAAGACGAAUUUGAUGGCUGAUUCGAUUAGAAAUUUUGAACAGGCAGUGGGAAAUUUUGAACAGGCAGUGGGAAAAUAUGUGGAGCCCACCCAGGAAUUAAAUCAGGAGUGUGCCCUGACAGAACAGGCCCAACAGGAAUAUGAGCUUCUGGAUUUGACAAAUGAACUUGGAAAAAGCCAGAUUUGGAAAGAAAAAGUGUGGUUUGGUUUGGAAAUGGGGGGUUGGAUAGACCCUCCUAUGCAGGGAUUUUUGGACUUUUCAAGUCUGGCAAUGGGCCGUGAGAUGUUUGGGAUUGUGGGGGCUCUCAAUUUUGGAUGGUUUUUGAAACAUGUUUUUAAAUACCACAUGGAAUUUAGUGUCGAUUAUGGAAAAGGGGCUGAUCUGUCGAGAAGGGUCAAAAAUAUUGCUAAGCUGGAGUUCCCACGAGUGAAACGAGCAGGAGACAAGGGAAAAUACAGUUACAAAUAUGAAGAAGAGCUGCGGAAGGGACAUGGAAGAGACUUAAGGGCUUCGGAUAUAAGGUCACCAGGUUAAUGCGCCAGAUCGAUGGGAUAAUAAGGACUGACAAACCCGGGACCAGGAGGAAGGGAUGCUGGAUGAAGAUUGAAGAUUGGAUUUGUUUUUAUUUCUUUUUUUCAUCACUAGGACUGUUUUAUAAAAUUGAUGAAUGUUAGAAAAAUGUUGGAAUGAAAUUAUUUGGCUUUAGUAAAAAUGUUUAAAGAAUUAUGUAAGAAUAUUAUGGUUAUGAGAAGUUGGUAAAAAUAAGAUUUAAGUUUUAAGUUCCAAGGUUUUUAUAGUAAGAUAAGAUUAAAAUAGUUUAAGGUAAUGUAAUGACAGAAUAUUAUGAAAUAUGGAAAGGAUUUGCUGUGACAAUUAACAACCAGGACACAAGGAAGGGGAGGAGGAGGAGGUCAAGGAAAGAGGGUAAUGACAGUUGAGGAGUUGAAAAUAAUGGAUUUGUUUUUAAUUGUUUUUAAAUUUUUGUGGUGUAUUUUUGUUUUCCCCCCUCUCUUAUUUUGUGUAUUUGUAUGGUUGGAAGUGGCUUGUUUUUCUCUUUUUCUACUUUGUUUUCUUUUGUAACUUAAAAAAAAAUAAAUUCCUUCAAUAAAUAUCAUUU
rnacentral:lncRNA from 1 species